rnacentral:rRNA from 1 species
UACGUAGGGUGCGAGCGUUAAUCGGAAUUACUGGGCGUAAAGCGUGCGCAGGCGGUUAUGUAAGACAGUUGUGAAAUCCCCGGGCUCAACCUGGGAAUUGCAUCUGUGACUGCAUAGCUAGAGUACGGUAGAGGGGGAUGGAAUUCCGCGUGUAGCAGUGAAAUGCGUAGAUAGUGCGGAGGAACACCGAUGGCGAAGGCAAUCCCUGGACCUGUACUGACGCUCAUGCACGAAA